UACGUAGGGUGCAAGCGUUGUCCGGAAUUAUUGGGCGUAAAGAGCUCGUAGGCGGUCUGUCGCGUCUGCUGUGAAAACUCAGGGCUUAACCCUGAGCUUGCAGUGGGUACGGGCAGACUAGAGUGCGGUAGGGGAGACUGGAAUUCCUGGUGUAGCGGUGGAAUGCGCAGAUAUCAGGAGGAACACCGAUGGCGAAGGCAGUUCUCUGGGCCGUAACUGACGCUGAGGAGCGAAAGCGUGGGGAGCGAACAGG
rnacentral:rRNA from 1 species